rnacentral:rRNA from 1 species
UCCGGGAUAACCCCGGGAAACUGGCCAUAAUACCGGAUAACGCAUAUGUGCUGGAAUGCUUUAUGCGUCAAACGGAUUCGUCUGCCCAAGGAUGGGUCUGCGGCCUAUCAGGUAGUAGUGGGUGUAAUGUACCUACUAGCCGACAACGGGUACGGGUUGUGAGAGCAAGAGCCCGGAGAUGGAUUCUGAGACAUGAAUCCAGGCCCUACCCGGCGCAGCAGGCGCGAAUUCUAAACAAUGCGGGUAACCGUGAUAAGGGGACACCGAGUGCCAGCAUCAUAUGCUGGCUGUCCGGAUGUGUAAAUUACAUCUGUUAGCAAGGGCCGGGCAAGACCGGUGCCAGCCGCCGCGGUAACACCGGCGGCCCGAGUGGUGAUCGUGAUUAUUGGGUCUAAAGGGUCCGUAGCCGGUUUGGUCAGUCCUCCGGGAAAUCUGAUAGCUCAACUAUUAGGCUUUCGGGCCAUACUGCCAGACUUGGAACCGGGAGAGGUAAGAGGUACUACAGGGGUAGGAGUGAAAUCUUGUAAUCGGUGUGGGACCACCUGUGGCGAAGGCGUCUUACCAGAACGGGUUCGACGGUGAGGGACGAAAGCUGGGGGCACGAACCGGAUUAGAUACCCGGGUAGUCCCAGCCGUAAACGAUGCUCGCUAGGUGUCAGGCAUGGCGCGACCGUGUCUGGUGCCGCAGGGAAGCCGUGAAGCGAGCCACCUGGGAAGUACGGCCGCAAGGCUGAAACUUAAAGGAAUUGGCGGCCCAGCACAACAACGGGUGGAGCCUGCGGUUUAAUUGGACUCAACGCCGGACAACUCACCGGGGACGACAGCAAUAUGUAGGCCAGGCUGAAGACCUUGCCUGAAUCGCUGAGAGGAGGUGCAUGGCCGUCGCCAGUUCGUACUGUGAAGCAUCCUGUUAAGUCAGGCAACGAGCGAGACCCGUGCCCACUGUUACC